GAUGAACGCUGGCGGCGUGCCUAAUACAUGCAAGUCGAGCGAACGGACGAGAAGCUUGCUUCUCUGAUGUUAGCGGCGGACGGGUGAGUAACACGUGGAUAACCUACCUAUAAGACUGGGAUAACUUCGGGAAACCGUAGCUAAUACCGGAUAAUAUUUUGAACCGCAUGGUUCAAAAGUGAAAGACGGUCUUGCUGUCACUUAUAGAUGGAUCCGCGCUGCAUUAGCUAGUUGGUAAGGUAACGGCUUACCAAGGCAACGAUGCAUAGCCGACCUGAGAGGGUGAUCGGCCACACUGGAACUGAGACACGGUGCAGACUCCUACGGGAGGCAGCAGUAGGGAAUCUUCCGCAAUGGGCGAAAGCCUGACGGAGCAACGCCGCGUGAGUGAUGAAGGUCUUCGGAUCGUAAAACUCUGUUAUUAGGGAAGAACAUAUGUGUAAGUAACUGUGCACAUCUUGACGGUACCUAAUCAGAAAGCCACGGCUAACUACGUG
rnacentral:rRNA from 1 species